rnacentral:lncRNA from 1 species
CCGGAGGGUGCGCGUCUGAAAGCACCGCCCACAGCCCUGGCUCCUCCUUCCCCCUUCAGCUACUCGAGGCCCUGCGCCAGGGCAUCCUGUGCAAGUGUGCGCUGCCCGGGCUUGCUAGCGAGGAGUCUAAGUGCUGUGCACAUAAAAGCCGCCCCGCUCAGGCUGUCUACACGCGCGCCGGCUGCUCGGCUCGGGCUGCAGCUCCACGGCGCUAGCCGCCUUGAGUACUCAGUGUUUACAUCCCGUCCCCGCUCCAGGUCUACGCGGCUUGCUCCACAAGCCGGAGGAGCGUGCGGAGCAGCGGGAUGCGGGUGCCUGUGCUGAAGGUGCGGGGGGCGCGCAGCGAGGGUGCGGAGAAAAGUGGAGGGGACGGGCUCUCGAGGGGCUUUCUGCAGCUUCAGAGAGCCCCGGUCUCCUCGCAGACGUGCAGCCAACGCCACGGAGCUGUUUCUGCUCCAUCCUCGAGGAGAAAUGGGAGGAUGUCUUUGUGAAAGUUUAAUUGCAAAAUAAAUGAAAGCAAGGCUUGAUAAGCAGUGCAUAGGUCCACACCCAGCAUCCAAACCGGCGAACCACAGGCUGCUAAGUGGAACAUGUGAACUUAACCACAGUGCCACUGGGCCAGCCCCUCUUCUG